rnacentral:snRNA from 1 species
GGAUGUGAGGGUGAUCUGGCUGCGACAUCUGUCACCCCAUUGAUCACCAGGGUUGAUUUGACUGAUCUGGAUGGCUAGGUGGGUGUCCCCUUCUUCCCUCACCACUUCAUGUGCGUUCCUCCAGAAGCUGUGUGUUCCUCCAGAGUCUGUGCGCUCCAUCAAAGAGGUUGGCCUUCCCAAAAAACAGAUAGGUGGGUCUUAGGUUGAGGGUAUAUGAAUAGCUGCGCCCCCCUGCUAGAACCUCCAAACAAGCUCUCAAGAAUAUACCCUCUAGGUUCAUCCAUGUUGCAAAUGGCAGGAUUUCAUCUUUUAAAAAAAUUUUUGAGUAGCUGAGUAGUAGUAUUCCAUUGAGU